rnacentral:rRNA from 1 species
AGCAGUCGCCGCGGUAAUACGGAGGGCGCGAGCGUUACCCGGAUUUACUGGGCGUAAAGGGCGUGUAGGCGGCCUGGGGCGUCCCAUGUGAAAGGCCACGGCUCAACCGUGGAGGAGCGUGGGAUACGCUCAGGCUAGAGGGUGGGAGAGGGUGGUGGAAUUCCCGGAGUAGCGGUGAAAUGCGCAGAUACCGGGAGGAACGCCGAUGGCGAAGGCAGCCACCUGGUCCACUUCUGACGCUGAGGCGCGAAAGCGUGGGGAGCAAACAGGAUUAGAUACCCGCGUAGUCCCUGUCUCUUAUAC